GUCGGAGUCUCUUCUAAUUCUUUCCUACACUGACCGCAGAGUGGCUGAGACGUGGGUGAGCCCAGGAGACAGUGGAGAUGAAGCAGGAGCAGGGGCGGAGGCGCCGGAGCUCGUGGGGGCCCAGCGCGGGCAUGAGGCCCCCGGAGGGAGCAGCUGCCCCAUGGGGUCUGCAGCCCCGACCCUCCUCCUACCACGGCCGCCUCUGCUCUUCUGGCUCCGGGUCCCUCCACGUCGAAGCAAAUGGUGGGUAUUUGGACGAUGCCCUUCCUAUGGCUGCAGUUGGAGGAGCUUCUCCUGUGUUUGCAUAAAGAGUGCAAAAAUGACAUCUUCUGCACAAAGGCUUCUUGUUUCUCCCUGGAGGACGUCUCUCUGGGGCACGAACUGUUGGAUGGGGGAGCAUGGAUUCUUGGGGCGGACUCACGAUAUAUCAUAAGAGAUCUCACUUUGCUGCUUAUUUUAUUGUUUCUGGUAUCAUGUGGUUAAUAAUUCCCACCAGUAAAAAAUAAUAAUAAUAAAAUUUAAAAAUAAAUAAAUAAAUAAACA
rnacentral:lncRNA from 1 species